GGUGGAAUGGUGUAAUGGUAGCACGUGACGUUGUGGUAUAACGCUCACACCGUUGUAACAUACAAUCCCGUUUCAAUCUGGGUUCGAUUCCCAGUUCCGCCA
rnacentral:tRNA from 1 species